rnacentral:rRNA from 1 species
UACAGAGGGUGCGAGCGUUAAUCGGAAUUACUGGGCGUAAAGCGCGCGUAGACGGUUUGUAAGUCAGAUGUGAAAUCCCUGGGCUCAACCUGGGAACUGCAUUUGAGACUGCAUGGCUAGAGUAUCGAAGAGGGAAGUGGAAUUUCCGGUGUAGCGGUGAAAUGCGUAGAUAUCGUAAGGAAGACCAGUGGCGAAGGCGGGUCUCUGGACAGUUCCUGACGCUGAGGCACGAAGGUCAGGGGAGCAAACGGG